UACGGGGGGGGCAAGCGUUGUUCGGAAUUACUGGGCGUAAAGGGUUUGUAGGUGGCUUGCUAAGUCAGACGUGAAAUCCCUCAGCUUAACUGGGGAACUGCGUCUGAGACUGGCAAGCUUGAGUGCAGGAGAGGAACGCGGAAUUCCAGGUGUAGCGGUGAAAUGCGUAGAUAUCGGGAGGAACACCUGUGGCGAAAGCGGCGCACUGGACCACUACUGACGCUGAGGCGCGAAAGCUAGGGGAGCAAACAGG
rnacentral:rRNA from 1 species